rnacentral:lncRNA from 1 species
UUAUAGAAUAAAACAAUUCUAUUUUAUUUCUAAUUUUAUAAUAUAUCUCUAUAAAUAAUUUAUGGACUAAAAAUCCAAGUGCAGCCUUUCCUGCGCACAGGGCCGGCCCAGCCUCCCUCUCCCACCCGUCCCCUCCCAUCCCUUCCCGCCUCCCUCCCCGCCCUCUGCUUCCACCCUCCUUCCCCUGCCUCAGCCCUAUUCACCCUCAGGACAGCUGCCCUGGACAAUGCCCCCCGGCCGGGCUUGGAGCCCCUGAACUUCCCCUCAUCACAGGUGAAAUGGGAAAAAAAAGGUGUGACCACCUAAUUCACCGCCAUGGCUCCCAGAGAUGGCAAGAUGCCCGAGGGCGUGUCUGUGGGGUCCCCGUGAUCCCAGGGCCUGGCACGCUGGAAGCUGUCUUGACGCAGAUGUGGUCACAGAGGUGCAGCGUGGCCCGUGACUUGCUCAGAGCCACACAGAAGUGCAGAGCGGAACAGAACAGUCGCCUGCCAUGGGGUGCCUCAUCCACACACCUUCCAACUCAGCAAGGAGGGUGGGGCUCAGAGGGGAGCCACUGUCGGUGAACUCCGGCACCCCCCGCCACCCAGCCGUCCGACCCCCAACAACUCCCCUCCUGGUUUGCUCCUCAGCUGAACACGACUGACUCCUCUUGAUUGUUGUGCUCAGAGGAGCCUCCCUCAUGACCUCCGCCCCCUUCUGUCUGGGAGAGGCUGGGGGCAGGGCAGGGUGCCGGGAGGAGGGGCCGGUUCCGAGGGCAGCCUGUGGGCAGAGUGCCAACUGCUGGAUGGAAGGUCCUGGAGCAAGGAGAGGAUGCAGAUAGCGGGGAAGGAGGGAGCCAGGGAGAAUCAGACGCGGGAAGGACGGAGGGGAAAGUCGGGGCGGGGGCCUCUCUCCUCUUUCAGCCGUGGGCUUGGAGAAGAUGACUUGGCUCCACCUUCUGGCUGGACAGAGCUGCCUUCCCAAUCUGCUGCCUCCUCCUUUGAGCACCUACUAUGCGCCAGGUGCUUUGUAUGUGCCGCCUCUUAACCCACACCACCACCCUCCACAGAAGAGAACAGUCUCCAUUUUGCAAGUGAAAAAAACUAAAGUUCAGAGAGGUUAGGUAAGUCGCCCAAACCACACAGCUAAUAAAAAUGAAAAUAGAAAACGGAAAAUGAAAACAUUUAUUCACCCAUCCCACAAAUAAUUUUGCAGUGCCUACUUGUGCCUGACACGGCUAAGCACUUCAGAAACAUCAGCUCACUGAAUCGUCAUAGUAACUGCUAGAACCUUUCCCAAAGCGUUCAGCCUCCCGCUGGCUCUGCCUCCGACAGUAGAUUCCCCACCCUGGGGCCCCUGCGGCCACUCUACAGGGAGAAUUAACGCUGGAAGAUUCGAAUUCAGUGAAUCUGAUAUUCGAGUUUAAACAGGAAUCAGGAGGUCGUUUAUGAGGGGCGGUUCAGAGGGGGACCGGAUCGCUGGCCACUUUCUGUCCUCCUCCAUCGGUCCAGCCAGUCCAGGAGAAGGGCCUGGGCAGCCAGCCUGGACCCCAGACUGUGUCCCGAAGGGCCCUCACCUGCCCUACCUCUGUUUCUGGUCUUGUUGCACCUUCGCAGGGAAGUGGCAGAAGACGUGUCCGCAUCCGGGGCUUUAUGAGAUGAGGAAAUGGGGCGCAAGUGUCUUGGCUGAGAUUCCAGGACCCCCUUGCUCACCCCCACUCUUUGCCUGAGGGGGACAGAGCCAGGAUUUAAACUCCAAGGAGCCUGAAUCCAGCACCCGAGGCCACAUUCGUCGCCUGCUUCUCCCACGUCCUCUGCGGGCAUACCCGGGCCUGCCUGUGGCUUCCACGCAUUCACUAACCCUUCGCUGCUUUGUGCUCCCUCUCUCCUUCUCAGAGUGCCUCAAACUCCUUCACAACCUACAAAGCCCUUCGUGUCUGGCCCCUUCCAGCCUCACCAGUCUCGUCACUCACCACUCUGCCUGCAUGCUCCUCUCUCCCCACCUCCACUUGGACCCCAACCCUACAUUCAUUCCCUGCAUUCUCUGCUCCAACCAGAGAGAGUGUGCCAUUCCCCAAAGCCACAUUUUUGGCUGGACGCUGUUUCUUUCCUGCCUGGCUAAUUCCUAUGCAACCCCAGGCCUCAGCCCAACAAGGCUGCCUCUUGGAAGCCUUCUCCACUCCCAACGAACCCCCAAGUGUAGCUGCUCACUUUGACUUACAACCCUUCCUUAAGUCCCUACUAUGCCUCAGGCACAGUGGGGCCACAAUCAAUAAACCAGAUCAGGCCUGCGCUCAUGGAGCUUCCAUCCCGGGGGACCCCACUCUGUGCUCUGGGCUGCCCUCAACACCCACUCCACUUCAUGUUUAC